UACGUAGGUGGCAAGCGUUAUCCGGAAUUAUUGGGCGCAAAGAGCACGCAGGUGGUUGAUUAAGUCUGAUGUGAAAGCCCACGGCUUAACCGUGGAGGGUCAUUGGAAACUGGUCGACUUGAGUGCAGAAGAGGGAAGUGGAAUUCCAUGUGUAGCGGUGAAAUGCGUAGAGAUAUGGAGGAACACCAGUGGCGAAGGCGGCUUCCUGGUCUGUAACUGACACUGAGGCGCGAAAGCGUGGGGAGCAAACAGGAUUAGA
rnacentral:rRNA from 1 species